rnacentral:lncRNA from 10 species
CUUCAAAAGAAGGAGGAAGAGUAGGAGGAGGAAGAGCUGCAAGAGGUGCUGUGUCACCUCUGAAAGCACCACCCUGGAGGCCCCGUGAUUUAUAAGGACAGUAGUUAAUAGUUUCUGUCAUCAGAGAGGAAAGCAGAGGGAGAUUUUACACAGAGAAGAGGUGAUGUUAAGAUGGAGUAGAGAGAUAUUUGGAGAUCCUGGCCUUAAGGACUGGAGGGAUGCAACCAGAAGCCAAG